GACGAACGCUGGCGGCGUGCCUAAUACAUGCAAGUCGAGCGGACUGAUUAAGAGCUUGCUCUUAUGACGUUAGCGGCGGACGGGUGAGUAACACGUGGGCAACCUGCCCUGUAGAUCGGGAUAACACCGAGAAAUCGGUGCUAAUACCGGGUAAUAUCUGAGAUCACAUGAUCUUAGGUUAAAAGAUGGCUCCGGCUAUCACUACAGGAUGGGCCCGCGGCGCAUUAGCUAGUUGGUAAGGUAAUGGCUUACCAAGGCGACGAUGCGUAGCCGACCUGAGAGGGUGAUCGGCCACACUGGGACUGAGACACGGCCCAGACUCCUACGGGAGGCAGCAGUAGGGAAUCUUCCGCAAUGAACGAAAGUCUGACGGAGCAACGCCGCGUGAGUGAUGAAGGGUUUCGGCUCGUAAAGCUCUGUUGUUAGGGAAGAAACAGUACCGAACGAACUAGGUCGGUACCUUGACGGUACCUAACCAGAAAGCCACGGCUAACUACGUG
rnacentral:rRNA from 1 species